UUCUCAGCACCUCAUGGUACCUUC
rnacentral:piRNA from 1 species